rnacentral:rRNA from 1 species
CAUAGGUUAAUGAGGCGAACCGGGGGAACUGAAACAUCUAAGUACCCCGAGGAAAAGAAAUCAACCGAGAUUCCCCCAGUAGCGGCGAGCGAACGGGGAGGAGCCCAGAGCCUGAAUCAGUGUGUGUGUUAGUGGAAGCGUCUGGAAAGGCGCGCGAUACAGGGUGACAGCCCCGUACACAAAAAUGCACAUGCUGUGAGCUCGAUGAGUAGGGCGGGACACGUGGUAUCCUGUCUGAAUAUGGGGGGACCAUCCUCCAAGGCUAAAUACUCCUGACUGACCGAUAGUGAACCAGUACCGUGAGGGAAAGGCGAAAAGAACCCCGGCGAGGGGAGUGAAAAAGAACCUGAAACCGUGUACGUACAAGCAGUGGGAGCCUCUUAAUGGGGUGACUGCGUACCUUUUGUAUAAUGGGUCAGCGACUUAUAUUCUGUAGCAAGGUUAACCGAAUAGGGGAGCCGAAGGGAAACCGAGUCUUAACUGGGCGUUAAGUUGCAGGGUAUAGACCCGAAACCCGGUGAUCUAGCCAUGGGCAGGUUGAAGGUUGGGUAACACUAACUGGAGGACCGAACCGACUAAUGUUGAAAAAUUAGCGGAUGACUUGUGGCUGGGGGUGAAAGGCCAAUCAAACCGGGAGAUAGCUGGUUCUCCCCGAAAGCUAUUUAGGUAGCGCCUCGUGAAUUCAUCUCCGGGGGUAGAGCACUGUUUCGGCAAGGGGGUCAUCCCGACUUACCAACCCGAUGCAAACUGCGAAUACCGGAGAAUGUUAUCACGGGAGACACACGGCGGGUGCUAACGUCCGUCGUGAAGAGGGAAACAACCCAGACCGCCAGCUAAGGUCCCAAAGUCAUGGUUAAGUGGGAAACGAUGUGGGAAGGCCCAGACAGCCAGGAUGUUGGCUUAGAAGCAGCCAUCAUUUAAAGAAAGCGUAAUAGCUCACUGGUCGAGUCGGCCUGCGCGGAAGAUGUAACGGGGCUAAACCAUGCACCGAAGCUGCGGCAGCGACACUAUGUGUUGUUGGGUAGGGGAGCGUUCUGUAAGCCUGUGAAGGUGGCCUGUGAGGGUUGCUGGAGGUAUCAGAAGUGCGAAUGCUGACAUAAGUAACGAUAAAGCGGGUGAAAAGCCCGCUCGCCGGAAGACCAAGGGUUCCUGUCCAACGUUAAUCGGGGCAGGGUGAGUCGACCCCUAAGGCGAGGCCGAAAGGCGUAGUCGAUGGGAAACAGGUUAAUAUUCCUGUACUUGGUGUUACUGCGAAGGGGGGACGGAGAAGGCUAUGUUGGCCGGGCGACGGUUGUCCCGGUUUAAGCGUGUAGGCUGGUUUUCCAGGCAAAUCCGGAAAACCAAGGCUGAGGCGUGAUGACGAGGCACUACGGUGCUGAAGUGACAAAUGCCCUGCUUCCAGGAAAAGCCUCUAAGCAUCAGGUAACAUCAAAUCGUACCCCAAACCGACACAGGU